rnacentral:lncRNA from 1 species
UGUAAAUCAGAGCACUCUAACCCAUCAAUAGGAGAAAAGGAAUUUAAAAUUGGGUCUCUAAUCUGAGGUAGAGAUUUGAGCGAUCUCUGCGAAGUUGAAACCCUGCGUUACUGUCUGGGGAAUUCACACCUGGGCAAUUUACACACACUUACUGAUUAACUUCUUCAGUUAACAAUUUUGAGCAGAUUACCUCAGUAUGCUUCAAUUCUACCCAAAUAGGUAGCAAACAGGUGUCAAUUGGGAGUCAUUAUAGUCUCUGAAAUCUCUUUACUUAUGGCAGUGCUCUAACUCAGAGUCAAGGUGGAAUUGAUCCAAGCUCAUUUGUUAUUCAAAGUGAGAGUGAGAAUUUUCUCAUGAUAGUAAAGUCAAGGGACAGAAUCUGAGAAUAGGAAAGAAUUUCUAAAACUGACAACUUACUUGUAAGAAAGAGCUAAUGUGCCUUCAAAUGAGAUUUUUUUUCCUGAUUUCCAUUGGAGUUCUGCACCCAGAUUGGCUGGCUGUACUGAUUCCUUAUAUAACAGAAUACAUAGAGGGAGGGAUGGAACAGGAGGCCCUUGGAGGCUGGCCAGGCUGGAGGUAUUCAUACAAACCAACAUUUCCUGACUGAAUGCAAAUAGGACACUUCUUUGAAAUGAGGAGCGACAAAUUUUUAACCUUUCUAGAAUUCAUGACAGAAUACUGUUUUUUUUUUUUUUUUAACGCUGUCUCCAUUGAAAGUCAGUUACUGAAUGGUAGGACACAAUUCUUAUGAAUUUUGUAGAAAGACAAAUAAUAUUCUCAUCUACAACUGUGUGAAGAAAAAUAGAAAAAUACUUGCCAUGUGUUAAAUCCUUACACUAUGGAGAAUACUAUGCAAACUGCUUUCAACUGCCUGCGUUCAUUUAAGAAUCACAACAACUAUGGAUGGCAGCAAAAUUCAGAAGGCUUAGACUACCACUGUCCUCCACAAGGUGCUCCAGCAGAUUGUCACCUUAUUCAACACAAGAGGUUGGUUGGAAUGAAACUGGCCUGGAGAAAUUAUUCACUGAAUUUUUAUCAGCAUUGGGAAGUCCUGGAGCCCUGCUUGUUGAAUGAGUUAGGGGUGGAAGGGCUCUCUCAGGCCAUGACAACUCCCUAAUGCUGUGAAGAGCUACUUCCAAGGAAUCAGUCUCUAUCUGGAAAAGAAAGAAGAGAGCCUCUGUACAUGGGAAGUUGGAGCAAGAAAUCAUGAGAUCCUUCUUUUUUUCAUCAAACUUGCAAGUAAGAUUAAUAGCUUAGGAACAGACUUGUGUCUUCAUGAAAUGAUUACUAUAGACACUCUUCAUUAUAUUCCCAUAUGUUUAGUUAUUUUAAAAGACUAUCUUUUCUGCCUGCAUAAUGAAAUGAUUGAAUCAAAUUUGUCACAAUACUUGUUGGUAAUGUCAAGCAACUGUAUGAUAAAGCAUCCAGUUCUUAGGGGCAUUAGCUCACCAUGGAUGAUAUUAUUAAUUUACCCAUGUACUUAAUUAUUGAUUCUACUACAUUUAUUGUAUUCAGUAUUUUUGCUUGUAUGAAAUGUUCACUUUUAACACUG